UGUUGGUUUUUUGUUUUUGUUUUUGUUUUUUGUUUGUUGUUGUUGUUUUUUUCGGGCGGGGGGGUGGGGUUGUUAGCUGAUUAGUUGAUAUACCUUUAUUUGUAUAAGAAAUAACUGUUUCAACACGAGUUUUUUGUUUUGUAGACACGCACGAAUGUCAGACUGGAAAGGGUUUAUGCGAUGUCCACGCUGACUACACGGAUACACCGGGAUCGUAUACAUGUACCUGUCGAGAUGGAUAUACUGGAGAUGGACGGUCAUGUACAGAUAUCGACGAGUGUCUUGUAAAGACGUCGUGUGGCACCAAUGCCAACUGCACCAAUACAGAUGGAUCGUAUACAUGGACCUGUCGAGAUGGAUAUACUGGAGAUGGACGGUCAUGUAAACAAAUUCACUGAUGUCAUGUAUAAGAUAAUGGUUUUCUUCAACCGGUUACAGGGCCGUACCCAGAACAAAAUCCUAGGGGUGCACUACUCUUUAUAAACAAAUGAAACACUAUACAAAUCAAACCCCGAGAUGCUAUUUUGUGGAGUAAAAAAAAAAAGUACGAUUCUCAGUGGGGCAACUGCCCCCUCACCUAACCCCAGGGGGUACGGUCCUGAGUUAGUAGCAUUAUGCAGGUUAACAACUUGUAACAAAUUCAAAAUAACAGUUCAUGAUGAAUUAUACACCACUUCCGGUUGUCUCGUUAUGGUAUCCUUUGUUAAAAACCCCAAAUAAAAAACAAAACAAAAAAACAAAACAAAACAAAAAAACAAACAAAUAAUAAUAAUAAUAAUAAUAAUAAUAAUAAUAAUAAUAAUAAAGAAACAUAACUCAUUGUCUUUUAACUAUUUCGACCAUUUAAAUAUCCAUAGUUAGGGAGGAGGGGAGGGGUGCAUGGUACAUUUGUUUAAAGAAAAUAUACUUCCCAAAUGUCUUUCAUAAAAUUACGAUAUCGCAAUGCAAUGUGUGUGUGUAACUAUAACGAUUAGGAGAUUAGUUACAAUACCUAAGUUUGGAAAAACUGUAUAUUUAACAACUUGUUUAUUGGAAAGGGAAAUUAGUGUAGGUUUUGUUUUAAAUCAUGUUUCGUUGGAUUUAGAUAUCGACGAGUGUCUUGUAAAGACAUCGUGUGGCACCAAUGCCAACUGCACCAAUACAGAUGGAUCGUAUACAUGGACCUGUCGAGAUGGAUAUACUGGAGAUGGACGGGCAUGUACAGAUAUCGACGAAUGUCUUGUACAGACAUCGUGUGGUACCAAUGCCAACUGCAACAAUACAGAUGGAUCAUACACCUGUACGUGUUUGAAUGGAUAUUCUGAAGAUGGACAAACGUGUGCAGAAAAUUCACUUAAACAUCAAUCGCUAAUCUGUGUUUUUUGCUACAUCAUUUUGACAAGCAAUUGUGUACAACCUCUUCAUUUUCGCAAAUAAACCUGUCAUCAGAAAAAUGCAUUUUUGUUUAUGGCCAGAUUAAGUACGUUUACUAAAGUUACCGGAUCAUUGAUACACAUAUUAAAGAGAAUCAGUGAAAGAUUGCAACCAUGGUUAACACUAUUGUUAAAUACAAGCCAGUAUAUCAAAUCGUCGGCGAAAUGACAAAACCUUGUAACUACACUUUUCAAAAUUUUACAGGAGAGCAAAAAUACGUUAUUUUGUUAUAGUCGUUAUUAUGCGAACAUAUUAACAGUUAAUAGUGAUAACAUAUUAACAGUUAAUAGUGAUAACUACUUAAUAGCUGGUGUCAGGUCUACAAAUGUAGUUACGACAAUUUACAAUUGAAAUGUCGUUGAAGAUGUCAGUUACGACAUUUUGAUCUAGAAUUUAACACAGGUUGAAGGAAUGAGGCAAGAUCUAUACAUGUAGAUACGACGUUUUCUCAUUUUAUUUUUUGGACCAGUUAUAAUACGACUAUUUGUCAUGUGACAGUCAACCACUUUCUAAUAGGCCGAUAGCUACGAUCUUUUGACAAAAGCAGAAUAUGAACAUUCUAACUCUGCAAAUUCCAAAAAGUGAUUUCUCGCCAAAAGUGUAGUUACGGCCUUUUGUCAUUUCGCCGACGAAAUGUCCAUUCAGUCUUACACAACUAAUAUGUCUGAAACCUUAGUGAUACAGGGGCAUGUAAAAAUACUCUCAGUCGAUUCAGUCUUACACAACUAAUUAUGUUAUCAUAUAUUAAUUUUAUGGGACAAAAAAGAAAAAAAGAAAAAAAGGAGCACUAUAAAUAAGAUUGUGUCUGACAGUUGCAAAGAGUGCAAAACGUCUACCCAUUGACUUCAGAUAUGCUAACAAGACAGUAGAUAAAAACGUUAUGAACAAAAAUGAACGUUUUUGGUAAAAAUAGGAAAAUGGUUGAUACCAUAAAAGGACAACAUACUUGAUUGUGUAAGACUGAACGGACACCACUAGAGGGCAUUGACUUAUUAAUCACCGGUAAUUGAAUGUUAAACAUUUGGUAAUUUUGACUUAGCAUAAACCUUCAGAGGUAAUCCACUCUGAAUGAUUCCUCUGAAGAGGUCGAUCUUGUGAUCAGAGCACCUAAGGCGAACACUCUAUCAACUGAGAGAUUACAUGACACAUCACCCAGUAUACCAACGAGUCCAUACGGCUUUUCCUUUCUUACUCGACCUGCUACAUCCACUGAGAAAUUGAAUGUUAAGUGAAUCAGUAUUGGUUGGUUCACUGCAAAUGCUAUAAUUAAAAGGUGAAAUGAUUAUAUGUUCGUUCUUCCAGAUUAAUACUAAUUAGAUCCGUAUCUUCGUAUAUAUAUUAGUUCAUUGUCAGUUGUUAAUGUGAAUUGUGAACCAGGUGCGUUUCACAUAUUUAUGUAUGUAUUUCAGCUGCACCACUGAAAUCUACUGUUAUAGAAAAUGUUACCAUUGUUUUGGCUGUGACAACGACGAUGUUA